rnacentral:lncRNA from 1 species
AGAAUGUUCUUUAGGCAGAGACCAAAUAAUAAGUACUACAGUAGUUUUGAGAACAAAGAAAGAUGGUACUUCACAUUUUUCUAGUAAAACCCCCGAGAGGAGCAUCAGACGGUUUGGGGGGAACACCACCCACAGGGCAGAAACUGGUCAUUAAAGGGACAAGAAGCUUAUGCAGGCGAAGUGCUGACAUCAUGGCUUUUUAGUUACUCAAGGCUAACAAGAUCUCCACCAGGGGGAAACGGCAGAAAAACAGGAUCUGUUCCGGAUCAGAAGACCAAUUCGUUGUUCAACACUGGCUUUUCUGCUCACUCUACUAGUGCCAAAUCGAGUUUGUUUACAUUAAAUCCAAAUUUAGCGCAGAUUUGAGCACUUCCUUCUUACCGCAGAAUCACCUCCCACCGUAUAAAAGUGGAGGCUCACGUGUAACUGAGUAUGGAGAUAAGCUUGACGUAAAGAACGCUUCAGGUUGGCUGAGCUUCACGCAUGACAUCCUGGAACUCGACUCCCCAAUUAACACUGACUUAAACGUGUUUUCACUCAGGAGUUACUCUUAAUUCCAGGUGAGAAAAUCUGAGGCGGAACAAAGUGUAGGACGGAAAUCUUCCCUCCCAUAUGGACUGGGAAGGUACCACUGAAUUCAUUUUCAUCAUUUUCACUGACAUGAUAGGCCAGAAACCGAGCUCACAUUUCCAGAGGCGAACAUCUCAUUUUAGGUGAAGGAGGCUGAGGACCACAGUGACGAGAAACCCCUGGCCCGGAGGUCAGCCCCAAGAUCUGAAUCUCAGCUCCUUAGCUCUGAGAUCCGGGGCAAACCGAUACACUGCUCUCAGCCUCUAUGGGCUUUUUGGUAAAUGGGGAAAAAGAAUACUAUCUACCUAUUUUGCAGGGCUGCAGUGAGAUUUAGAAAUGUAAGGCCCCCAGGAAGCCCCGAGGGAAUGGGAGCUGCCGAAGUCAUUACUAUCUGUUUGAUCGGACCCAGAGGUUCUAAGAAUGGAGAAUCAAAUGACUGGACUAAAAAGCUCACCAGUUUCUGAACUUCGAACUCUGCCGCGAUUUGCCAGUAGCCCUCGUCGUUGGGGCGCAACAUUACAACAUCAAAAGCGGAAGCUGUGGCAACCGUUGCAUCUUCCUGGCUGAGGGCUAGUGCCUGUAUUCUUGCGUCAUGCUCAAAACGAUGGAUGGGAUACUUUCCGGUCCUUAGAUCCCAGAUAUUAAGAAACCCUACGUAGAGAAAAACAGGGCAGGUAAUUUUAGAUUUCCUUAAAACGCACAAUUAUAAAGUAAUCAUGCAAUAUAAAGAAAGUUAAAAGGUAAAUGACAAAUUUGCAUCACAUACAACACAGGGCCGAUUUCCUUAACAAUGAGCUUCUAAGGUCCAAUAAGGAAAAAAAAAAGCAAUUGGAAAGUGAGCAAAGGACAAGAGCAUGCUGGUCACAGUAAAAGAAAUACAACUGAUGUACACAGUAAGAAAAACGCAAAAAUUCACUCACAAUUAGAAAAAUACAAAAACGGGGGCGCCUGGGUGGCUCAGUUGGCUGAGCAUCUGACUUCAACUCAGGUCACGAUUCCACGGUUCAUGCAUUCGAGCCCCGCGUCGGGCUCUGUGCUGACAGCUCAGAGCCUGGAGCCUGCUUCGGAUUCUGUGUCCCUCUCUUGCUUUGCCCCCCCCCGCCCCCCCUCCCCCGUUCACGGGCAAGCGCACGCACUCUCUAAGAAAAAAUAAAACACUAAAAAAAAAAAAAGAAAAACACAAAAACGGUAACAGAAUAUUAUUUUUCAUCCAUCAAACUGACAAAAAUGAAAAAUUUCAUAAAACAUUUUGUUGUUGAGGCUAUAGGGAAAUAGACUCUAUUUUUUUAAAUGCUUAUUUAUUUUGAGGGGGGAGAGGGGCAGAGGGGGGGGGAGAGAAUCCCAAGCAGGUCCCAUGCUGUCAGUGCAGAGCCUGACCUGGGGCUCAAUCUCACAACCAAACCAUGAGAUCAUGACCUGAGCCAAAACUGACUGAGUCAGAUGCUUCACUGACAAAGCCACCCAGGCACCCUAGGCUCUAUCUUAAAUUGUUGGUGGAGAUAUAAACUAAUUCACCCAACUUGGGAGGCAAUUUGAUGGUACGUACCAGAUUACGAAUGUCUACAGGAUAGUCGCUGAAAUGUUUUUCAUUAUGUCAAAAGAUUAGAAGCUAUCUAAAUGUGCACCACAGUUUGAAAUUUAAAUAAAAUGAGGAAUUAAAAAGACUGUGUCAGAUUUAUACAUAAGCUACCUGAAAGAUCAACAAAAUAUAUUAUUAAAUGAAAAAAGUGAAGGACAGAGUAGUGGUAUAGUAGGUUAUACUACUUUCGUGUUUUAAAAAAUUUACACACACACACACAAACGUAUACACAGACUAUCCUCGUGUAUGGAAGGAUACACAAGAAACUGUUACCAGUGCUUGGCAUUGAAGGAAAGAAACCAAAGAGAAGGGACAAGAGUAGGAGGGCAUUUUACUAUAUAUCCACUUGUAUAUUCUGAAGAUUUUCCCUAAAAUUAUUUUUACUAAAAAGAUAAAUUUUAUAAAGUGUUUUUAUGAGACAGACUUAACAAUAGCAGGACACACAUCAAUUGCUGAAUACUUUGCACAUAUGGCGCUCCUAAUUCAUUCUCUUAAUUGUCCAUUCAUGCAACAAAUAAUUUUUCCCAGUUUUAUUGAUUACAGUUGACAUAUAAGUUGUACGACACAACAAUCUGAUAUAUGCAUACACUGUAAAAUGAUUACCAUAGUACAUUAGUUAAUACCCAUCACCUCACACAGUUAACAAAUUUCUUUUUCCUUAGAAUGAGAACUUUUAAAAUCUACUCUCUUAGCAACUUUCAAAUAUACGGUACAGUAUUAACUGUGGUCAUCAUGUUGUAGGUUAGAUCCCCAGAACUUAUCUUCUAACUGGAAGUUUGGACACCUUUUGACCACCUUUACUGAUUUUUCCCACACCUCCGUCCCCAGGAAUCACAAAUCUGUUCUCUGUUUCUGAGGGUUUUGUUUGUUUGUUUGUUUGUUUUUAUUUUUUUAUUUUUAUUUUUUUAAAAAAAAUUUUUUUUUUUUAACGUUUAUUUAUUUUUGAGACAGAGAGAGACAGAGCAUGAACGGGGGAGGGGCAGAGAGAGAGGGAGACACAGAAUCGGAAACAGGCUCCAGGCUCCGAGCCAUCAGCCCAGAGCCUGACGCGGGGCUCGAACUCACGGACCGCGAGAUCGUGACCUGGCUGAAGUCGGACGCUCAACCGACUGCGCCACCCAGGCGCCCCUGUUUGUUUGUUUUUAGAUUCCACACAUAAGUGAGAUCACACAGUAUUUGUUUUUCCUCGGACUUAUUUCACUUAGCAUAAUGCCCUCAAGGUUCACCCAUGUUGUUGCCAAUAGCGGAAUUUCAUGGCUGAAUAGUAUUCCGUUGGACACGUAUACCACAAUUUCUUUAUCAGUUCGACUGUCAAUGGACACUCAGGCUGUUUCCAUGUCUUGGCUGUCAUGAAUAAUGCUAAUGCUGCAGUGCACGUGGGGUGCGGACGGUUCUUCGGGACAGUGACUUCAUCUCCUUUGGACAUAUACCCAGAAAUGGAAUUGCUGGACCAUAAGAAAUCUAGAGUUCUAGAUUUCAUUUUUGGGGGAACCUCCAUACCGUUUUCCAGUGGUUGCACAAAUUUACAUUCCCACCGACAAUGCACGAGGGCUUUCUCUCCACAUCCUCACCAGCAUCUGUCAUCCCUGGUCUUUGACGACAGCCAUUCUAGCAAGCGUGAGCUAUCAGGCAGAAAAUUACUGAGCAUGUUAUAUAUGGGGCACUGUUGUGGAUGCCAGCAAGAUCUGAAAACAGCCACUAACUUGUAUUUUACAUCCUUCCUCACACCACCCUCUUCCAGCCGCAGUGAGCACUGAUGCUUUACUUUCCAUCAUUAUCAAACGUGAGCUUAACUAUCCUACACUUGCUAAAAACCUUGAUCUACCUACACACCCUUGUCCCUCCAGCUCCCCGGAUGCUGCUACCCAGAUGAAUCCCUCUUACACACACUGGCUGUGUGUCUCCACCUUUCUCAAAUGGUCUACAGCAUGAUAUCCAAGUUUUCCAAGUGGUCUUCAGACCAGAAGCCCCAGCAGCUGCAGCAUCACCUGGGGGCUUGUUAGAAAUGCAGAUCUGGGGGCAACAGAAACUCUGGGGAUAUACACUCAAGUCUGAGAACCAGUCUGUCUACAGGAACUUACACUCUUCUAUCAGAAACAGAAACUUUUCUGUACCUGGGAUGCCUUUCUUCUUCUUACCCAAAUUCUUUUUAUCAUUCCCACCCACUUCUUUCCCUGCCAAUAUGUACCCAAGAAAAUAAUUACUGUCUGCAUCAUACUGGAUAACGUCCUGCUCCAAUUCCCACUGAUUUUAUUUUUCAAAGUUCCCUGAGAAAUGAUUGCACAGAAAUAACAGUCUGUGGUUAUUUGAGUUCAAAUCCAGCUCUACCACUUGCUAGCAGAAGGUCUUGGGCAAGUUACUUUAAGCUGUGGGCCUGUCUCUUCAUCUACAAAACGGAAGAUAACAUUACCUACUGCACAGGACUGUUGGACAGACGAAAGGGGAAAAGCCACACCAAAGGCUGGAAAUAGGCCAUUUUUACCUUUCAUGUGUUCUAGAAGGCCUGCCAUGUUGUAAAGCAUGUUUACAAUCUACUAAUAGUGCAAAUUCCCUCCGUUGCUCCUCCAAAAAUCUAAUCCUACUUCCUACAACUUCCUGUUACCCAAAACAGAUAAAGCUCUUUCACGUUUCUUCUCUCGGCAAUCCAAGUGCUUUGAACUUAGGAUCUUACCAUAAAGCAUCAUUCAGUACUAAAAAAUACAGUCAGAAGAAAGUAAUGCAUGUGGGCUGCUCUGCAAGACUUUGAAACCGCCAGCAGGCUAGGUGGGUGAUGACAAACAGAAGCGGAGCUUUCUUCAAGUUAAAUGUCGCUUCAGACGUAAAACAGCGUUCUUUUCUGAGAAUUACGAUAAACCAAGGGGAUCCGCGGGUCACACACGGCUCCACGACACAUUCCCCUGGCAAAUCUUUUGGCAAGUCCUCCCCACUCUCAGAAGAAACAGAGAUGCUGCAGAAAACGCUGAAUACACAUUCAAUAGGAGACAGGCAUAUUCCAAGACGUGCCUCCUCCGAGCACUUCUGCGUUAUGUGUGUUUGCCUUUGUUCAGAGACGUCACAAUAAACAGUCACGAGAGAAACAAAAUUUGCAAUUUUCACAGAGCUUUUGAGAGUGAGACAUUUUCAUUUGUCUCCUCUCAUUGAGUGCUCACUUCCAUUUUGGGAGGAACAUCAUUAUCCUCAUUUACAAAAGAGAACAGAAGCUCCGAGUGGUUAAACAACUGGUCCAAAGCCACUUGGUAUGUGAUGAGGCUGGGCUGGAAUUAUGCUGGGAAAGUGCGGGAUGUGCGGCUGCCUCUCCAAGUGCAUAAAAUAACCAUGAGCUCCACGAGCAAAUGACGUAAACUUGCCUGGAUUCUGCCAAAUGUGAAAGUUACUCAACCACGGCUCACUCUAAGCACACAUGGAGUUUAUCUAUAAACACAUUUUUCAUUAUUAAUCAACUACUCGGUUUUGUCGGCAUCACUAUUCCAACAGAAUCUUGUGCAAUAAAAUAUCCUUUGCUGCAAGGUUGAGCUUCACAGAGCCAUCCUAAGAAAGGUCUUUUUGGAAAAUAUAUUCUAGGGUUCCCUCAAUUUAAUGGCCACAUUCUUUUCUGGACUCCUACAGCGUCGUCAUCUUUAUCAACUCUCUCUACUCCCUUCAACUACUAAGCAUAUAAAACCUUGUCAGCCCCUUCCUUGUCGACAGCACAGUCCUCCAAGACCACUUUUACAUGUGUGAACAUUUAAAACGGUCAUGUCCUCUGAACGAAUUGACCCUCCGUUGUGUGAAAUGUCCCUCUUUACCCCUGGUUGUGUUCUUUGCUCUGAGAUCUUCUUUGUCUGCUAUGGAUAUAGGCAUUCCAGCUUUCUCCUGAUUAGUGUUAGCACUGUAUAUAUUUUUCUGUCCUUUCUCUUUGCCUUGUGUCUUCACAUUUGAAACGAGUUUCUUGUCGACAGCAUAUAUACUUGGUCUUGUUUUUAACUGGAGUGUGUAGACUAUUUCCUUUAAUGUGGUUAUGGGCAGGAAUGGGUUUUUCCUACCAUUUUGCUAUUUGUCCCAUUUGUUCUGUGUUCCCUUUUUCUCUUUUUCUGCCUGCUUUUAGAUGGAGUAUUUGCUUCAACCGAGUAUGUGUUUAUUCCAUUUGCGUUCCCCUGUUGGCUCAUUAGCCCAAACUCUUGUUGUGUUAUUUUAGCCCAAAUGCUUCAGCAUUUUAGCAUUCAUCUUUAACUUACCGGUCUACCCUCCAGUGACACUGCCCCACUUCAUGUGAAGAGGGCAAGCUUCACUGCCACACACUUCCAUUUCCUGCCCCCCAGCCUUUGUGCCACUGUGGUCAGGCUUUUCGUUUCUACGUGUGUGAUGAACCCCAUGUACAUUAUUACUUUUGCAUCAGCAGGCAAUCUUUAAAAAAGGACUUAAACAGUAAGAAAAAAAAAGCCACGUAUACUUACCCAUGUAAUUACCGCACCUGGGGCUCUUCCAAUAUCACUUUUAACACUAAAUCCUGCAGCUGUUGCAAGAUUUGCAAUUUCACUUUGCAACUGUGUUGCUGGACACUUGACCCAAAAACACCCGGGCAAGGUGGGCAGGAAGAGACACAGCAGCGAAUGGGGAGAGAUGUUUGGGUGGAAGCUAGUUUUAUAAAUGAUCAAUCUAUUCGUUAGUAGUUACAUCAUGGCUACUCUUACAACCUCAAAACUGCAGGGACUUGAACUACGAAUACCUGAAUUAUAAUAAUGUCUUCUAAUAUUGUAGCUGACUAUCACCCACGUUAACCAACAUUUAGUCAAAAGGGAAUCGAUGUAAUAGUACAAUCAAGUAUUUACUGAGCCCCGGCUUUGGGCCAGCCACUAUUCUAGGUAGUCAGGAAACUGCGGCAAAUAAGACAAAAUAAAACAAGAAAGUCACUGACUGCAUGCAGUGAAUAUUCUCAUGGCAUCUACCAAGCAUCUCGUUUGGGGGCAGACAGAAAGGAUAGGACUCCUAUUCUCACAAAACCUGUACCUGAGAGAAACAAACCUUUUAAUGACCAAAAUGUAACACAGAAUAGAAGAUACAAAGUACAAUGGGAAAAUGGAUAUGCUUUUUAUCAUGCCAUAAAAUUAUUUUAAUAUCCCCAAAGAAGGGGCGGCUAAUUUCUCUAGACACUUCAAGUUGAACUGGAUGCACAACCAUCACGUGACAUUAAGAAGUAAGUAGCCAAUGCCCGUCAGAACCAAAUAUAGUCACUUGUCAAACAGGUGAUAAUUUUUUUUUCAAUAUAUGAAAUUUAUUGUCAAAUUGGUUUCCAUACAACACCCAGUGCUCAUCCCAACAGGUGUCCUUCUCAAUACCCAUCACCCACCCUCCCCUCCCUCCCACCCCCCAUCAACCCUCAGUUUGUUCUCAGUUUUUAAGAGUCUCUUAUGCUUUGGCUCUCUCCCACUCUAACCUCUUUUUUUUUUUUUUCUUUUCCUUCCCCUCCCCCAUGGGUUUCAAACAGGUGAUAAUUUUUAAAAAUCUGAUAGAAAUUCAUUCAAAAGGCCAAGUCUUAUAUCACAGAAACAAUAAUGAUAUGGAUUUGGCUCUUGAUAUUGUGUGGACCUCUCAAGUGUCAGAACUGUGUCCUUUUUCUUCCAUAUCGCCUAUGUCAGUGAAUUCAGAACGUCACUAACAACGUGGCUGUCAAUAAAGGUUUGCCAAAUGUUUGUCUUACGUUUUAGCAAGGGACGUAACAAAACAAAAGAAACAAAAAUCCACCGCAACUCAAACACAAAAGGGAAAUGGGCUGGGAGGGAAUGGGGCUAUUUCAUGGAACCCAAAGGCAAGAAGUACAGCUGGAGAUCAUAAGGAAUCUGAACCAGGGACUAGGAAGACAUUCAGAACCAAGGCAGGGUAUGUGUUCUGUGUGCCUCUCUGUGCAGCUGUUUUCAUUCUUCUGUCUCCCCCCACAAACCAGCUGUCGCUCUUCCCCAAUCUGCAGAGUCUUCUAAUCCAAGCAUAGAACCCAGACUAAAUGUGUGAGGCCCAAAUGGCUCAUCCCAAUCCAUGAAUUAGCUGCCCCCCGGGCCUACGGUUCCCACCCUCCUCCAACCGAGGCCAAAGACUAACUCAAAUACUCACUGUGAACGUGCCUACCCCUACGGGGGCUAAGGAGGUUCACUGGGGUUAGGAGACACCCCAAAAGUGUCUACUACACUUAUCCUGCAAGUCAGGCCAGGGGAAAACGAGCAAAUGUCUUAGCAAAUGCAAAGGCAGGAUCUGUGUAGUUAGUUCCUCAGUAGUGACUUAAAAAGCAGGUCACUGCCAUCAUUUCCUGAACAAGCCAUGAUCCCUAAGCGCCAGAGCUCACGGCCCCCAUUUAUUUGCCCCACACCGGGAAAACUAAAAGGACAGCAGAGGUCUUUCUCCCUGACGAAACCUCAAGAGCUGGAUGAAGGAUGUCCAACUCUGAGCCAGUGCCAGCCUCACGACAACACGACUUCAUCCACGAGAAAUAUGAAACGGAUGCAGACGAAAGAAGAAAAAGGGUCUGUCAAAAAAUCUGGAAGGGCACAAUGAGUGAGGGCCCUCGGCCCAAUCGAGGAGAUGGGAGUGGGGCUCUGACAAGCGGCAGCAGGGCGGAAGCAACUCGGAGCUCACCCUAGACCGGGGAACGGUUGUUAACAAUGACAUGAGUAACGAUGGCCAGUCUUCUGAGGAGACACAAAGCCUGCUCAGCAGCUGUGGUGGGCACCCAUGCCAGUUUGCGACAUGCCCCUCCCACCUCCCGGAGGAGGCCAGCCAGAGUGUGGUAAUGAAACUGCACAUAGUGGAAAUGGGAUCUAAAUGAGUUUAAACUGAUUUAUGUGAGCUUUUGUAAAGAUUACUCGAUAUCAGGAAAGUGCUACCACUGUGAAAUAAUGUCGACAAUCCUUAAGACCUCCGCCUAAUGGUACUUGCACAGAAUAUUUAUAUUCCUCGUCAUGGGAACAAGGACCAUAAUGGAUACCAUUUUUGUUUUAUUAGGGAUGCAUAUUUAAAUUAAUCUGCUAUUUGCCUAAACAAUUAGCUGCUUCUGUUUGUGUGCACAAAGCCAAAGUUGCAAUUAGGCUUCCAUCAAAAAGAUAAGUCCCAACUAAAACUGUCCCGGUGGGGUCGUAAGAGCUCAGGGCAGAACUUUCCAAAAUUACUUUUUAGCAUAAUGGUAAUUAUGUUAAUUGCUUGAAAGGUAAAUAACUGCUGAACCGGUUUUGGGGGGGGUGGGGAAACACACCACACACAACUGGCCCUGCCCCCUCCCCUUUGAUCUUUUUCAAGCACCAUUAAAAUUUAAAACAGGUUGACAGUUUAGAAAGUCACAGACUAGUCACUUCUUAAACCACAGAGUGUCUUGUGGUCUCUAGUGCUUCCUUGAUUAGAACUUAUUGUAGCCAUGAGCUCCUAUCCUCUUGAGCUUGGACACUAAACACCUGAGGCGUAGGGCAGUUUCUGACCACAGUAAUCGACCCCCCCCCCACCUGUGGGGGAUACGUUUCAAGAUCCCCAGGACAUGUCUGACCAUGGACAGUUCCAAACCCGUUAGGUACUAUGUUUUUUCCUUUACAUACAUACCUUUGAUAAAGUUUAAUUUAUAAACAAAAAAAAAGCACAGUAAGAGAUCAACAAUAAAAUAGCACAAUUAUAACACUAUAUUGUGACAAAAGUCAUGUGAAUGUGGUCUCUCUCUCAAAGUAUCUUAUUGAACUGAACUCAUCCCUCUUUUUGCGAUGAUGUGAGAUAAUAACACACCUGCAUGAUGAGAUGGAACGAUGUGCAUGAGGUAGCGUUAGACUACCACUGACCGAGGACUCCACUCCAACCCCCCCCCCCCCCCCCCGCUUCUAGACCACAGUGGCUGCGGGUAACUGAAGCUGCAGAAACUGAAACCACGGAUAAGGGGGCACUGCUGUAGUUACGUAGGCAGGGUCAUCUAACUGCAGUUCAGAGAACAGUGAAUGAAACUAUUUUUAAAAACAGCUUGUAACUUCAAUUUCCACCCCAUAAACACUUGCCUAUAAAUAAACAGGAGCCAAAAAAACUCCUUGACAAGAGAAAAAGCAUUUUAUUUUAUUUUUUAAUUUAUUUUUUUUUUAACGUUUAUUUAUUUUUGAGACAGAGACAGAGCAUGAAUGGGGGAGGGUCAGAGAGAGAGGGAGACACAGAAUCGGAAACAGGCUCCAGGCUCUGAGCGGUCAGCACAGAGCCCGACGCGGGGCUUGAACUCAUGGGCCUCGAGAUCAAGACCUGAGCCGAAGUCGGCCACUUAACCGACUGAGCCACCCAGGCGCCCCGAGAAAAAGCAUUUUAACAAAAAUUUAAGAUCUACCCAUUGCAUUCACUAACUGUGUACUGCCUCAUUCAUCAAGUCCAUACAACAGCACUAUGAGAUAGAGGCCAGAGGUGUAAAGGUGGCAUGGGUUUGAAAGGAGAAAAUAAAUUUUGCUUUUACGGAAGAGGUGGCCAGGGAGGUUAGUAUCAGUGCAAACAAGGGUCAUGUUGAAGUGCUCGGUACGGAAGGUCUGGAAUAAGACAAAGUGUCUACCAUGCAUGUUCAUCCUCAACACUGCAGCCGAACACAACUCUAAACCUGAACCCUGUGAUGUGGAGAAAAACAACGCAUAGGAAGCAUUCUGGAAGCUGUACUUUGGACUGACGAGAAUCUGAAUGGGCUCAUGGACCGAUCAAGUGGCUGGUUAGGCACAACAGAUCAGCGACCGGAUGAGAGAUCACCAAAGCAGAAAGAGAGUCAAGAAGAAAGCAAGAUGAAUAUAGUUAGGAAUCUUGGGUUCAAAGCAGAAGAAAAACAUUUUAAAAAUAAAAAAUGAGAAAAGACAGUAAGUUGAAAAGGAAUCAAAUAACAAGUAACAGAUCGUAAGACAGGACAAUGUGACUCCGUAGAAGAAUUCAGAGUAACGGAGUCCAAGGAAAAACAGAUUCAUGGGGAAAGCAUCCGGACCAGGUCUUCUACAAGGGGAAGUGCCAAGGAGGCAGAGAACGCGAAAGAGACAUCACUAUGCACACAGCCACCAACCCUGCCAGCUCCAGCCAGUGUCUUCCUACACUAUAACGGAGCAAUAUAAACAUAAUCUGGAAUAUAUUUUGAAGAGUCCAUCAGACAGUGGUACUAGGUGAUGCCUCCAGCGCACAAACUAUGGUACUGGGCAAUCGGGACAGUGGUGGUGGGUAGAGAAAGAACACUUAUUCUUCACUACACAUCCUUUGGGACAAUUUGAAUUUUUCCUACAUGUUAUACUAUCUCAAAAAUUUUAUUAUAAUUUGUAUACAUAUCUUUAUAAAUAUUAACAUGAUUUGUGAUGAGAUUUUUUUCACUUUUCCCAAUCACGGUCCACAUAAUUUUAUAAUCAACAUUUAACUCUGAUAUACAAAUUCUACUUCUGACUCAGUGAUAGGUUAAGGUGAAUUAAACUCCAAAGGAGUACGCAACAUCGCCACCACUUUCCUGACCAGACAGGUGCCAGAGAGCCCAGGCCAAGAGUAGCCCAGGGUAAGUCUUAAUCUCCUUGUUCUUUCUCUUUUCAAAAAGUUUAUUUGUUACUAAAAGGCAAAUAGGUCUAUCUUCAAAAACAGUUCCACUCAUGUGCUAAGUGACAGAACUAUAUAAUAUUUAGAAAUGCGUGAUUUAAGAUAACGCUCAGGACUACUGAAGCAGAAUGAUGGGUACAUGGGGAUUCAUCACCCUAUUCUCCCCAAUUUUGUGUAUUUUGAAUUUCCUACAAUAAAAGGAUUCUUAAAAAU